rnacentral:rRNA from 1 species
GAUGAACGCUGGCGGCGUGCCUAAUACAUGCAAGUCGAGCGAACGGACGAGAAGCUUGCUUCUCUGAUGUUAGCGGCGGACGGGUGAGUAACACGUGGAUAACCUACCUAUAAGACUGGGAUAACUUCGGGAAACCGGAGCUAAUACCGGAUAAUAUUUUGAACCGCAUGGUUCAAAAGUGAAAGACGGUCUUGCUGUCACUUAUAGAUGGAUCCGCGCUGCAUUAGCUAGUUGGUAAGGUAACGGCUUACCAAGGCAACGAUGCAUAGCCGACCUGAGAGGGUGAUCGGCCACACGGGAAGUGAGACACGGUCCAGACUCCUAAGGGAGGCAGCAGUAGGGAAUCUUCCGCAAUGGGCGAAAGCCUGACGGAGCAACGCCGCGUGAGUGAUGAAGGUCUUCGGAUCGUAAAACUCUGUUAUUAGGGAAGAACAUAUGUGUAAGUAACUGUGCACAUCUUGACGGUACCUAAUCAGAAAGCCACGGCUAACUACGUG